rnacentral:snoRNA from 1 species
UCCUCACAUAGGAUAAUUUUUACUUCAUUCUCCCUUUGGAGGGCAGGUUAGAACAUGAAUGUAGUUUGCAUGAUCCAUGAUUCACAUCUUGGAGUAGUCACAACUUGCAGUGCUGUGAUUGCUUCUAUUUGUU